rnacentral:rRNA from 1 species
CAGCAGGCGCGAAAAUUUUGCAAUACACGAAAGUGUGACAGGGUCAUCCCGAGUGCCGACCGCUGAGGUUGGCUUUUACCCAGUCUAGAAAGCUGGGGGAAUAAGGAGAGGGCAAGUCUGGUGUCAGCCGCCGCGGUAAUACCAGCUCUCCGAGUGGUGUGGACGUUUAUUGGGCCUAAAGCAUCCGUAGCUGGCUGAACAAGUCCCCUGUUAAACCCACCGAUUUAAUCGUUGGUCUGCGGGGGAUACUGCUCGGCUAGGGGACGAGAGAGGCAGACGGUAUUCCCGGGGUAGGGGUGAAAUCCUAUAAUCCCGAGAAGACCACCAGUGGCGAAGGCUGUCUGCUAGAACGCGCCCGACGGUGAGGGAUGAAAGCUGGGGGAGCGAACCGGAUUAGAUACCCGGGUAGUCCCAGCUGUAAACGAUGCAGACUAGGUGUUUGGACGGCCACGUGCCGUUCUAGUGCCGCAGGGAAGCUGUUAAGUCUGCCGCCUGGGGAGUACGAUCGCAAGAUUGAAACUUAAAGGAAUUGGCGGGGGAGCAC